UACGGAGGGGGCUAGCGUUGUUCGGAAUUACUGGGCGUAAAGCGCGCGUAGGCGGACCUGCAAGUCGGUGGUGAAAGCCCGAGGCUCAACCUCGGAACUGCCUUCGAUACUGCGGGUCUCGAGUCCGGGAGAGGUGAGUGGAAUUCCUAGUGUAGAGGUGAAAUUCGUAGAUAUUAGGAAGAACACCAGUGGCGAAGGCGGCUCACUGGCCCGGUACUGAGGCUAAGGCGCGAAAGCGUGGGGAGCAAACAGG
rnacentral:rRNA from 1 species